rnacentral:misc_RNA from 1 species
UAGGUUAUUUUUUUACACUUGCACAAGUUGUUUGUUAUUUUCUUGUUUUGUAGAAAUAAAUAAAUAUAUUAUUAUAAACUAAGGUCGAUAUAAGGAAAUUUUACUGAACAUUUUUUGUUGCAAAUAACAUGCAGAAUCUAUGUUUUUCGGCUAUUACUCCUUUUGUUAGACACUAUGUAUAAAACCAACAAAUAGUAAAGCCCUACAUAUUAUACUAUUCUUGAUUGGGAUGAUCUACGCAACUUUACAUUAUUGUUGGAAUGCAUAACUAUUGAGCAAUGUGUGGCCUGGUUUUGGGAGGCACAGAUAGCGUGACUGGCGUGGGAAAAUAUGGCUGUUGCGGGGGCGGUGGGGCGGCUAUAAAAGGAGGCGGUCGGAGCUGGAGGUGGCAGCCACGACAUGCAGUCCUCUCGCCGCCCCCGGGCCGCCGUCUUGCCGCCUCCGCAGUCAGGACGCCACCUCCGGCCAAGGCUCUCACAUUCCGCCUCCUCGCUGUCCGAAAUGCUGCGCUCAAAAAAGUCCAAACCCAGGAAGGGUGGAAGGAUGGAUAAUCUACGUAAACGUACCACUGACUACACAGACUUCGCUUACAAGGAAGCAGUCUCCAAGCUGCGAUACCUGCUGGCCGAGUCCUAUAAUCCGGCAUCUGGUCUACCCAAGUAUACAAUCAGCCACCACCACCGCCAUCACCAUACGGUGUUCGCAGAUGAAGUUGGCACUGGCACUGAGAUGACGUCACUUCCGAUGCCCAUCACCCACGUGUCGCCACCCAAGAGGCCCUUCCCCGUGCCCACCAACAGUGCCCACCAGCAGCCCGCCGAACUCAUAUCGUUCAUCGAAAAGCAGGAGGAGUACAUAGAGCAGCUCGAGAAGGAGUCCCAAUACUGUCGGGAUGAGCUUUCAAAUUUAAUGGGGAAGGUGAAAGAAGUAAUAUCGGAAAAUGAGGGACUCCAUGAACGCAGGAAAUCGGGAAUUUUGAAAACAGCAUUCGACUCAUUCGAAAUGGAGGACUAUGAAGACUAUGAUGACGAUGCUAAUGAUGAAAAGGAAUACAAAGUGACUGAACCUAACAGUAAGCGGCCACUUAUGGGGCCGAACAUUGUGUACGAGUCGAGAAUCAGUGAGUUGGAGGCCCAGCUGACUCAGGCCAAGAUGGACCUGAGGAAGGCCCAGGAAGAGGCGGACAGCCUUCGCAAGCAGCUGGCUGAGUCCAGGGUUUACCCCUCUUCGGUCGCCGUUGAAAACAUCUCUGAGCUCGACAGCGAUCGGCAGAUUCAAAUGUUGCAAAGGGAAAAGGAAGAGUUGAUGGAGAUAGUUGAGAAACUGCAAGCGACAGUUGCCCAAAUCCGAGAUAAAGAGGCAAAUGCCACCCAGAAAGUGAGGAGGAGUCUUGAUGUUGUCGAUCAGGCCCAGUUUGAAAAGAAUCAAGCAGAGCUAGAAGUGCGCCGACUGAAGACAGAGGUGGACCGUCUGAACGAGAAGCUGCGAGAGAGCGCGGCCGAACAGACACGACGCCUGACCGAAGUGGAGCGUCGCUACGCCACCCAGGCCGAACAGCUGAGUGGCGAUCUGGCGUCACAGUGGGACAACAACACGCGCCUCAACCUCGAGCUGGACAGACAGCGACGACUCGAGACCGAUCUCAGGCGUGAUCUUCUUCAUAAGGCCGCUACCAUUGAUGAUCUAAAGAAGGAGCUCAACUCCAGAAUCACGUGCCGAGUAAAAGUAGGGCCCGUUUGCCCCAAAGGCAGCCUGCAGAGCGAGGUGGUGGCGGCAGGGGCGGAGCGGGAGGGCCUGGAGACGGAGGCGGCUUCCGCGCGAAUGGCGCUCGAGCGAGCGGAGCGCGCCGCCAAACAUGAUUCGGCGCGGAUGCAGGCGGAAGUUCAGGCGCUCAGACAGCGGUUGGACCGCGCCGACGCCGAUCUACUGCACAGUCGCAAGGAGAACCUGAGGCUUGGCGAGCAUGUGUCGUCGCUCGAACGCGAGUUGCAUAUGGCGAAGCUUGCAAAUGAAGAGGUGGGCUCCAUGAAGGACUCCAAACGCGAAAAAGAGCUGACUGCCAUGAUAAUGGAUAUGGAUUCGAAACAUGUCAAAAAUGUCGCUGAGCUAGAAGGCAUGAUACAGUCUCAGACGCAACUGAUGGAAAAACUGAAAGAUGAGUGUCAAAUGCUGACACGGAGGCUUGAAGAUUGUACUACACGCCACAAAAGGGAUAGGAGCAGCCUGAAGGAUCAAAAUGAAAAACUAGUUGACCGUCUGAGUCGGGUUUGGGAGAACUGUAAAGACUUGCGAACAGUUUGUGCGCAGUAUGGAAUUGACGUAGAUGGACAGGUAUUUCACUCAAACUUCCAACAGCAAACCCUUCUUCCGUUGUCUGUCUAAUUUCGGAAUCACCCUGUAAACUUGCUGAUGCAUGUCUUCUCUCUUUUCCUCAUGGUGGAGGUGCAAUAUGUCUUUGUCUUUCUCUGUGAUGACUUCUGAUUGCGUUUCAGGGAGGACAUGGCGGGACUACAAAAUAACAUAGAUUAUCUCAAUAAUAAAGUAGAAGCCAGCAGCUACGAUAAUCAACAAUGGAGAGAUGACGGAAUGGGUGGGGAAUACGAGCAGCCGCAGUACGAUGAGUCCGCCAUGCCCACUGAGCCCCCGGCAGAUUGAGGGUGAGGAGGAGGAGGAGGAGGAGGAGGAGGAGGAGGAGGAGAACAGUGAAGGGCUACUUCUACAGUCGUCCAUGCCGCAGCUUGCUAACACCACCGUCACCCCCGCCAUAGCCUUCCAUCGACUCUACAAGUCAACCGACAAUCUCAUCG